rnacentral:tRNA from 1 species
GCCUGGGUGGCUCAGUUGGUUGAGCAUCUGACUUUGGCUCAGAUCAUGAUUUCAUGGUUCGUGAGUUCGAACUCUGCGUUGGGCU